UACGUAGGGUGCAAGCGUUGUCCGGAAUUAUUGGGCGUAAAGAGCUCUGUGAGCGGUUUGUUGCGUCGGCUGUGAAAUCCCGAGGCUCAACAUCGGGUCUGCAGUCGAUACGAGCAAACUAGAGUGUUGCAGGGGAGACUGGAAUUCCUGGUGUAGCGGUGAAAUGCGCAGAUAUCAGGAGGAACACCGGUGGCGAAGGCGGGUCUCUGGGCAACAACUGACGCUGGAGGAGCGAAAGCGUGGGGAGCGAACAGG
rnacentral:rRNA from 1 species